CCCUUAGAUGCUCUGGGCCGCACGCGCGCUACACUGGUCGAUGCAACGAGUUUCUUUCCUUGGCCGACAGGCCUGGGCAAUCUUUGAACAUCGAUCGUGAUCGGGAUAGAUUCUUGUAAUUUUUGAUCUUAAACGAGGAAUUCCUAGUAAACGCAAGUCAUCAGCUUGCAUUGAUUACGUCCCUGCCCUUUGUACACACCGCCCGUCGCUCCUACCGAUUGAAUGCUCAGGUGAGCCAUUCGGACUUUCAUCAUGCUGGUUUCCAGUUUUGAUGAAGGAAAGUCUUGCGAACCUUAUCAUUUAGAGGAAGGAGAAGUCGUAACA
rnacentral:rRNA from 1 species